rnacentral:rRNA from 1 species
AUUGAACGCUGGCGGCAGGCCUAACACAUGCAAGUCGAGCGGAGCGGCGGACGUGUGAGUAAUGCCUAGGAAUCUGCCUGGUAGUGGGGGAUAACGUCCGGAAACGGGCGCUAAUACCGCAUACUAUCAGAUGAGCCUAGGUCUGAUUCGCUAGUUGGUGGGGUAAAGGCCUACCAAGGCGACGAUCCGUAACUGGUCUGAGAGGAUGAUCAGUCACACUGGAACUGAGACACGGUGCAGCGUCCUACGGGAGGCAGAAGUGGGGAAUAUUGGACAAUGGGCUAAAGCCUGAUGCAGCCAUGCCGCGUGGAUGAAGAGGGCCUUCGGGUUGUAAAGUACUUUCAGUGGGGAGGCGUUACCCGAAGAAGAAGCACCGGCUAACUCCGUGCCAGCAGCCGCGGUAAUAC